GGAGGGGGGUGAUUAGGCAUGCUCUGAAAGAACCCGAUCGAGAACAGCGACAGCGACAGCUGGACCUGGUCCCGGCCCAGCCUGGCAGGAGGCUGCUGCCGCCUUCCCCGCGCAGCAGGAACACCGGCACGGCGCCGCUGGAUGGGCCGGAUGGAGACGGCGUGCAGGCGGCGGAAGCCGCCGAGCGAGAGCACGACGGCGCGGAGCUGCUGCUCGGAGAAGCCGAGGUCAGCCCACUCCCUCACGCAGGCCGCCUCCCAGAGCCGCUCGUCCUGCGCGAGGGCCCGCCAGCCCCGGCUGACGCACGCCGCGCUGGCCAGCGUCCGCGCCUCCGCCCGCCGCAGCACCUCGAACAUCAGGUCCUCCCCCAGAUACGGCACAUCACCCCCAUCCGGUGCAGGCGGCUGCUGCGGCGGAGGCUGUGAGGAGGAGGAGGAGGUGGACGCCUCGUCGGCCUGGCUCGAGCUCCCGGUCCGCUGCUGCUUCUUGGCCGGCUCGCUGGAUCCGCCGCCACCACCACCACCCGAACCAGGAGGAGGCGCCCAGGGAUCGCGGCCGCCCGAGGAACCGGAAGGGCACUUCAUGACGAGGCGGAGGGAUCGAUCUACUUGGGCCCGGAUCCGCCUGCCCGCCUGCGGUAGCGAGCGAGCGAGGGAGGGAGGGGUCGAACACCUGCGGCGACGACGGGGCGGAUCUAGAUCUAGAGCGGCGGGCGAGGUCCCCUAG
rnacentral:rRNA from 1 species